UCCAGUGUGAAUGGUAGUGUCACGUGAAGUCUUAAAACAUUUCCUUAAACUGUUCUUUUUCCAUCACCUCAACUACAUCUCCUCUUCCAUCUCUUUUUUUUCUCUCAUCUUCUUUGCCUGUGUCAAUCUACUUAGUGUUUUGACCUGCCUCUCCGCACGCCGAAGUAGAAUAGGGAGAAAGAGAGCUGGGUGGAGAUUUUCUUGUUUUUUGGGAUUAGAUUAAAGUUUUGGCUCUAACCAUUAUCAAAGCGUCAACGAACAUUAUGUCUCCCCAGUCUUCAGGUCUUCAGGUUUAUUCGUUGGGAAGAGAAAAAAAGCUCAUGGGAAUGGGUGGAGUAUGGCAAAGAAAGAUAGGAAUUCCGCAUAAAAUGUCUGUGUGGAGAUACCACGCAAGCUUUGGCUACCCAAAACAUUCUUGGGACAAAAAUCGGUUGCGGGAAAUGCAGAUGUACCUACCUUUUUUUUUGCAAUGACGGCCACUCAUCCCAGAACCGGGACCUUUCAAAUGUCCUCGAGCACGGGUAUGAAUGCUUUAUAUUUAUUUUUUUGUUUUAUUGUUUAUUUUUGUGUUUUGAUGGUGAUAUAUUUUUGCUAGUGGAUUACUUGGGAAUGCUAUUGCUUUAACCUCCUGGUCUGUCUGACGUGUCAAACAAUGUUGCAGCGUAGGGCACACGUGCUACCAGUGGCAAUCGUUCAAGUAACAAAAAGAAUCUAUUUUGUUACGGUUUAUGCUCAAAACUAUAUGUAGAUGCUUUAUUUUCAAAUCAUGUGGUACUAUUUUUGAGAUUAUAAUAAUUAUAAAUAUUUUAUUUUCAAAUCAUGUGAUACUAUUUCUUCUCAAUAUUUUACCCCCCUGUUUUUUUGCCAUAUUGGUGAAGUCUAUAAAUUUUCCAGCUAAUCUAUGUAUGCUAGCACAGUUCUUAAAAUAUUUAAAAUUGUUCAAAAUUUUCACUGAAAUUACAUUACUAUUUCUAUUGAGGUAUUAUUUGUGUGUAUGUAUUGUAGGUAUUACUUUUAUGCACCUAGGUUUCUGUAUAAUAAGAGUUCAUAUAGCUUGUGGAAUUUAUAGAUUAAUGUUUGCUUUGUACAAUUUGAUUAUUUUGCUUUUUUUAUGUCCUGUAGUUGAUGUACUAAAUACAUGUUUUGUGAAAAAAAAUUUGUUUAUAUGGUCAUUAUUACAAUAUAUGCACUAUGAAUUAUUUGAUGGAUGAUCAUUCUAUGAUAUUGUGGAUUGAGCAACUUGUUCCUUAAAAGCAUGGGAUUAAUUCAAUUGGUGGUAAGUAAGCAUUUGAUGAUAUUCAGGAGGUCAAAAGUUUAGAGCUUUGUCAUUUUUGCAGAUGUUGGUUUUAGUUAUUUGUUGUUUGGAGAGUGUGUGAUUUGAUACUAGGAGGUUUAGAGCUUUAGAUCAUGUAGAAAAAGCCAAUAAUGUGGAGGUUGAGAGUUUAAUGUUGAAUUUAUUGUACACACAAUUUAAUGAAAUAUUAUUUAAUAAAGAUCCCAAUGUUCAAUCUUUCCCCCCUAACUGAACAGAAAUCCAUCAAAUUCAGCAUGCUAGCUAUCUCUCUCUUCUUCUGUUUUUAAUUAUUCUUGUUUGGGAGAUUCAAAAAAUUCUAUCUACAUACUAUGUAUAUUAUAUAUACAGUGAAACAUAUAUAUAUAUAUAUAUAUAUAUAUAUAUAUAUAUAUAUAUACAGAGUUUAUUUGGUCACGUAGCUAACAUGUGUAACUCCUAUUGGAUCAUGAUGCAAAAUGUAUUUGUAACUCAAAUAUUAAGCUCGAAACCUCCACAGCCAGUCAAUUAUUUUAGUUUUUGUUUCUUCUUUUUAUUUUUCAAUAAUUCAAGCUUUUUGAGCAGGGGAUUACCACCUGUUGUACCUCCGGACGACUGCACAAAAUCAUGGGUUUCAGCUGGGAAUUUCUAGCUAAGUUUCUGAUGCCAUCAUUGUGGCAUCAAACUAGAUUUCCUGUUCCCGGAUGUGUCAAUGCGGCCCCUUCCUCUGCCACUGCAGUUCCUGCCUCCACCACAGUUCCUGCCUCAACCACUAUUAUUCCCGCCUCCGCCGCGGUUGCCCCUUUAGGCUUUAGGCCCUUUCCUCUGUUCUCGGUAGUUUUAAAUGCAAAAUGAGACAAGGCAAGACAAGACAAGUCAAGUAAUAUAUAUAUAUAUAUAUAUUAUAUUAACUUUCAUCAUCAGGUAAAAUGCUUAAAAAAAAAAAAAAAAAAAAAAAAAAACCUGAACUAUUGGCCUUUUGCAACUAACCUUCUUGAACAACAAAAUAUCUCUUGAAGUAUUAAUUUGUUCGGCGAAAAAGUGAAAAGACAUCAUUACCCUUAUUUUAACUAUGUAGUCUUGAUAGUGUUUAAUUGAUGCAGAUGAUGUGGAAAGGUGUAAUCUUAUGGAGCAAUCAAAAUGUGAUUGCACAUACAAUCUUAUCACUAGAAAACAAACCUUUUCCUUCUCUA